rnacentral:misc_RNA from 1 species
GAUGAAGAACGCAGCGAAAUGCGAUAAGUAAUGUGAAUUGCAGAAUUCAGUGAAUCAUCGAAUCUUUGAACGCACCUUGCGCCCUUUGGCCAUUCCGAAGGGCAUGCCUGUUUGAGUAUCAUGAACACCUCAACUCUUUAUGGUUUUCCAUGAUGAGCUUGGACUUUGGGGGUUUUGCUGGCCUAUGGUCGACUCCUCUAAAAUAAAUCAGCUUACCGGUGUUUGGUGGGUAUCAUGGGUGUGAUAACUAUCUACGCUUGUGGUUUUUCCACCAGGUAACCUUCGACAGCGGAGGUUCACUGGAGCUCAUAGAUGUCUCUCCUCAGCGAGGACAGCCCUUUGAAUGUUUGAUCUCAAAUCAGGUAGGACUACCCGCUGAACUUAAGCAUAUCAAUAAGCGGAGGA